ACGGGAGGCAGCAGUGGGGAAUAUUGCACAAUGGGCGAAAGCCUGAUGCAGCUAUGCCGCGUGUAUGAAGAAGGCCUUAGGGUUGUAAAGUACUUUCAUCGGGGAGGAAAAACAAAACUAAUAAUUUUAUUUCUUGACGUUACCCGAAAAAGAAGCACCGGCUAACUCCGUGCCAGCAGCCGCGGUAAUACGGAGGGUGCUAGCGUUAAUCAGAAUUACUGGGCGUAAAGAGCACGUAGGUGGUUUUUUUAAGUCAGAUGUGAAAUCCCUGGGCUUAACCUAGGAACUGCAUUUUGAAACUGAAAUACUAGAGUAUCGUAGAGGGAGGUAGAAUUCUAGGUGUAGCGGUGAAAUGCGUAGAUAUCUGGAGGAAUACCUGUGGCGAAAGCGGCCUCCUAAACGAAUACUGACACUGAGGUGCGAAAGCGUGGGGAGCAAACAGGGAUUAGAUACC
rnacentral:rRNA from 1 species